CCCCUAGUAACUGCGAGUGAAGCGGGAAAAGCUCAAAUUUAAAAUCUGGCGGGUUCCCCGUCCGAGUUGUAAUCUGGAGAAGUGUUUUCCGUGUCGGACCGUGUACAAGUCCCUUGGAAUGGGGCGUCAUAGAGGGUGAGAAUCCCGUCCAUGACACGGACUACCGAUGCUUUGUGAUACACUCUCAAAGAGUCGAGUUGUUUGGGAAUGCAGCUCAAAAUGGGUGGUAAAUUCCAUCUAAAGCUAAAUAUUGGCGAGAGACCGAUAGCGAACAAGUACCGUGAGGGAAAGAUGAAAAGCACUUUGGAAAGAGAGUUAAACAGUACGUGAAAUUGUUGAAAGGGAAACGCUUGAAGUCAGUCGCGUCCGUCGAGACUCAGCCUUGCCUUUGGGCCUGGUGUACUUCUCGGUGGACGGGUCAACAUCGAUUUUGAAUGGCAGAUAAAGGUCUGGGGAAUGUGGCACCUCCGGGUGUGUUAUAGCCCCUCUCCGUAUAUGCUGUUUGGGAUCGAGGACCGCAGCACGCCCUUGUGGCCGGGGUUCUACCCACGUACCGUGCUUAGGAUGUUGGCAUAAUGGCUUUAAGCGACCCGUCUUGAAACACGGACCAAGGAGUCUAACAUGCCUGCGAGUGUUAGGGUGCAAAACCCUUGCGCGUAAUGAAAGUGAAAGUUGGGACCUCUGUCGAGGAGGGCACCGACGCCCGGCCCUGAACUCUUGUGACGGUGCUGCGGUAGAGCAUGUAUGUUGGGACCCGAAAGAUGGUGAACUAUGCCUGAAUAGGGCGAAGCCAGAGGAAACUCUGGUGGAGGCUCGUAGCGAUUCUGACGUGCAAAUCGAUCGUCAAAUUUGGG
rnacentral:rRNA from 1 species